GAAACCACGUAUAUUUUCUUGUCGUCCCCACUUUUUCGUAUUUUCUCUGUGAUUUUGUGUUAAAGUAUAGCCAUUUUUGCGUCUUGCUCGUCUUUUUGGUCAUUUGUCGACCAUUGUUGAAUUUAAGUGUUAUUUUGUUUUUAAUUAAUUUUUUUUAUGUUUUGGUGAAAUAGUUAGUUCACUCGACAAUAAUCUAUAACUCCAAAUUAUGGUGAUGGUGAAUUAUUGACUCUCAUGUACGAGUUAUUUUUGUUAUAAUAUUCAAAAUUUGCCAAUACAAAUAUUUUGAUUUUCAACAAAAGGACGGCUAGAAAUUAUUUGAAUAAAUGGCAUCACAAAUGAUGAUAUUAAAAAAACUCUUGGAUUUUCAAUGUCACCAGAGCAUCUACAAUCGAAAAUUGCUACAGAUACAACGAAAUAAUGAGUAGCAUAGAGAUAUGAGAGACACGAUCGGACACGACGAUGAUCGUUUCAAGUGGUAGAAAUAAGUGGGGACAUGAUUCUAAGCCAUCAUUGGCUGCUAUAUCGUCGUUGGUGGUCCCCACUCAUCCCUCCUAUCGACACGACGAGUGGAAAGGGUUGUAAAGUUGCAACAACACCGAAAUUGCACGGGUGAAAUAAAAAGUUUACUGGACAACAAUCUAUAACAUCAAAUGAUGCUGGUGUUUAUUGACUCUCAUCCUCAUGUACCAGCUAAUUCAACAAAAGGACGGCUAUAGGAAUAAUUUGAAUAAAAGCGUCAUCAAUCAUCAUCAAAGCAAUAAUGGAGCAAUACCGAAAAUAGCUACAGAUACAACGAAAGAAAUGCCUCGGAAUUAUUAUUUAUUAGCUGAGGAUAAAUGUCUUUACCAAUGGCAAAAGUAUUGGCAGUCUUUAUUGAACAAAGAGAGGUAUUCUUGGUUAAUUAAAAAUUGAUUGAAAGUUUCAACAGACAUCCGUGCAUUUGGAAUUCCAAAUUAUCUCAGCGGAUUUCGGCCUGUUUGUUGACACUAAUUAUAAUGAUAUAAGGACAAUAAUCAUUGAUAGUCGUUGGUGCAUCUGAAUGCUGUCUCCUAGAAUUUCUACAUAGGCCUUGGUGUAUUUGAAUGCGCUGAUUCAUAGAUUUUCUACAUAUAUAAGCCUUGAUGCAUCUGAAUUCUUCCUCCUAGAACUUCUAAAUGAGGUAAGAGGCCCUCUGGUCACUUUUUUAACCAAUCCCUCAGGGUAAAGUGCGUCAACAAGCUUGUAACUUCAAAGAAUUAAUUAUAAUAUUCUUUUAAGCUACUUGAUUG